UACGGAGGGUGCAAGCGUUAUCCGGAUUUACUGGGUUUAAAGGGUGCGUAGGUGGGUUGGGAAGUCAGUGGUGAAAUACUUUCGCUUAACGAAGGAACUGCCAUUGAUACUAUCAAUCUUGAAUGUAGUGGAGGUAGGCGGAAUGCGUCAUGUAGCGGUGAAAUGCUUAGAUAUGACGCAGAACACCAAUUGCGAAGGCAGCUUGCUACACUACUAUUGACACUGAGGCACGAAAGCGUGGGAAUCAAACAGG
rnacentral:rRNA from 1 species